CCGCCCUCUCCGCGUCGCGGCGGUCUGAGGAAUGAGCGUCUUCCGGGUGGCCGCCGCCGCUUCCACUCAGGCUCCGGCGGGUGGGCAGCAGAGCGAGGCUGCCGGCGCGGUCUCCGCAAGGAGAGCGGAGUGAAUGACCGAGGACAGCGGCGCGGAGAGGUAGCCCCGGGAUCAAGAUGCAGGCGCCCGCCAGCAUCCUCAACCUCCUGCUGCUGUCCUUGCUGGCCGGCCUCGAUCAUUCCAAGUGAGAAUAUAACAAAAGCAGGAGGUGAUACAGAAUUAAUAACAUCAGUUGAUAAAGAAUUACAUCUACAUGUUUUUGAACUGCAGCUACCGACAGUACCAGCUAUUGCUGUGUUCUGCAGAGACUUACCAGGCAAUGCACAGGACAUGUGUCAACAGGAACACAUGGGCACAUUACUGUAUCACAGGUUUCCCCAGUCAUUUUUCUAUCAUCAGUUGCACUUGGAUCUAUUAAAGUCAAAGAGACUGCCUGAAAGCAGACCAAAAACAACAACAAAAAAAAACCAAAACAAACAAACAAAAAAAAAACCACCAACAAAAACUGAAUGAAGACUAAAACACUGAUGAAGAAAACCAGCUUCAGCUGACAGAAAUCUGCUUAGCUCAUGUGUCAGAGCGAUGUCCCAAAAUAACAGGGGGAAGACAUGCUCCAUCUAAUAUGUCUGUCACUGACCAGCACUGAAAAAUCAGGAUGAACCACUACAACCAAAUCUGAUUACUUGUCUUUGAAACUUCGCUUCUAGUCCUUUUUGGCAUGGCGUCUGGUGUCCAAAGGGUGUUAGAAAGGCCUUUUAUUCAUCUUGAGGUGAGACAUCUUCAGGGAUAUUAAAACGCUAAUUGCAUGCCCUUUUAACUCUGUGAAGAAGCCGUGAGCCAGGAAGAUCUAAAGUCCUUAAGAAUAUGUAAAAAUGUGAGCCCUUAAUCAAAGUCUGCUGUUUAUUGGAGCUAAACUGGGUUUUCAGAAAUAAAAUAAAUGAGAGA
rnacentral:lncRNA from 1 species